UUUCAUCGGAAUAGAUGUGCCGUCGAUUUUUCUCUCUCCCAUCUGUUUGUUUUCCUUGGGCUGUGUAUGGGAUUUAUGGGGUGUUGUUGGCCUAUUCAAACCAAGUCCACUCUCCGCUUAUAUAGGCCCAAUAAACUGUUUUUAUUAAGCGGCAUGCAUAUACGCACAGGUUUUCUCGGCGCCGGCGGGCAAUAGAGUAAAAGAGACAGAGCUAGAGAAACCAAGAACGGCAGAGAUACGACAAGCCUGUCACAAUGGGUCGUAUGCACAGUAGAGGAAAGGGAAUUUCGGCUUAGGCUCUGCCCUACAAGAGGACCCCUCCUAGCUGGUUGAAGAUCUCAACUCAGGAUGUUGAGGGAACAUCUACAAGUUUGCCAAGAAGGGUCUGACACCGUCUCAAAUUGGUGUUAAUUCUUCAUGAUUCUCAUGGGAUUGAAGAGUGCUACUGGAAGCAAGAUAUUGCUUAUACUGAAGGCUGAUGGUCUUGCUUGAAAUACCUGAGGAUUUAUACCAUCCCAUUAAGAAAGCAUACUCAAUUAGGAAUCAUUUGGAGAGAGACAGGAAAGAGAAGGAUUCCAAAUUUAGGCUAAUUCUGGUGGAGGGCAGGAUCCAUUGUUUAGCUCGUUAUUAUAAGAAGACAAGGAAGUUUCCACCAGUUUGGAAAUAUGAAUCUACCACAGUCUACCACAGCCAGCACUCUUGUGGCUUAGGUUGGAGAUGAUUGGCCCAGAUUUGGAGGCUUCCCAUUGAAAGAGCAAAACUAGUUGUUAGUUGCUACUUUUGUUUGCUUCAAUUUGAGAGCUCCUUCAUGAAUCAUGGCAGAAGUUCUUGCUAGAUAGUAUUCAAAUCAUUCGAUUUAGUUGUUUCUAAUGCCCCUUUAAUAUAAUCGGUGGGUAAGAAUACAUAGAUUUUUUGGAAACUCCUGAUAUUAUUUUGGGACGUUCUCUCCAUGCUUAUUGUACUCUGGGGUUAAGGCUUUAUGUCCCCCCCCCUGUAUUUGACAGUUUCAUUAAUUAAGGCCUAAGGGCCGCCGCAC